ensembl:miRNA microRNA 505
AAACUGAUGCACCCAGUAGGGGAGCCAUGAAGUAUUGAUGUUUCUGCCAGUUUAGCGUCAACACUUGCUGGUUUCCUCUUUGGAGCAUCA